rnacentral:tmRNA from 1 species
GGGCUAACCGUGGAGCGAGAAGCAAAACCUGAACUAAACCUGUAGAAGCUUUGCGCGGAGCAUUCUCGGACGGGAGUUCGAUUCUCCCCGGCUCCACCA